GACGAACGCUGGCGGCGUGCUUAACACAUGCGAGUCGAACGGUGAAGGGACCGGUUUUUGCUGGUUCUGGAUGAGUGGCGAACGGGUGAGUAACACGUGAGUAACCUGCCCCCUUCUUCUGGAUAACCGCAUGAAAGUGUGGCUAAUACGGGAUAUUCUGCGCCUGCUGCAUGGUGGGUGUGGGAAAGAUAUUGUUUCGGUGGGGGAUGGGCUCGCGGCCUAUCAGCUUGUUGGUGGGGUGAUGGCCUACCAAGGCGGUGACGGGUAGCCGGCCUGAGAGGGUGGACGGUCACACUGGGACUGAGACACGGCCCAGACUCCUACGGGAGGCAGCAGUGGGGAAUAUUGCACAAUGGGCGCAAGCCUGAUGCAGCGACGCCGCGUGAGGGAUGGAGGCCUGCGGGUUGUAAACCUCUUUCGCCAGUGAAGCAGGCCUGUCCCUUUUGUGGGUGGGUUGACGGUAGCUGGAUAAGAAGCGCCGGCUAACUACGUG
rnacentral:rRNA from 1 species